GACAGAGGGGGCGAGCGUUGUCCGGAAUUACUGGGCGUAAAGGGUGCUUAGGCGGCUCCUUAAGUGAGGUGUGAAAUCCCUGGGCUCAACCCAGGAACUGCACUUCAAACUGGGGAGCUAGAGUGCAGGAGAGGAAAGCGGAAUUCCCGGUGUAGCGGUGAAAUGCGUAGAGAUCGGGAGGAACACCAGUGGCGAAGGCGGCUUUCUGGACUGUAAUUGACGCUGAGGCACGAAAGCGUGGGGAGCAAACAGG
rnacentral:rRNA from 1 species